GUGGAUUACAGCACAUAUGCUAAAAUCAGAACGAUACAGAGAUUAGCAUGGCCCCUGCGCAAGGAUGACAUGCAAAUUCAUGAAGUGUUCCCAUUUUUU
rnacentral:snRNA from 1 species